rnacentral:rRNA from 1 species
CCUGAACGCUGGCGGCGUGGCUAAGACAUGCAAGUCGUACGGGUGCAGCAAUGCACCAGUGGCGGACGGGUGAGUAAUGUAUCGCUAACGUGCCCCUCUGUCCGGGAUAGCCGAGGGAAACUUCGGGUAAUACCGGGUGACAUCACCGCGAGGCAUCUCGUGGUGCUCAAAGGGAAACCGCAGAGGGAGCGGGCGAUAUCGUAUCAGCUUGUGGCGGGGUAACGCCCACAAGGCGACGACGCGUAGCCGGACUGAGAGGUUGCCGGCCACAUUGGGACUGAGACACUGCCCAGACUCCUACGGGGGGCUGCAGUAACGAAUCUUCCGCAAUGCACGCAAGUGUGACGGAGCGACGCCGCGUGUGGGACGAAGCCCCUCGGGGUGUAAACCACUGUCAGGGGUAAGAAAGUUCUGAUCUGCCCCAGAGGAAGGCACGGCUAACUCUGUGCCAG